rnacentral:rRNA from 2 species
AACCGGAGCUAAUACCGGAUACGUUCUUUUCUCGCAUGAGAGAAGAUGGAAAGACGGUUUACGCUGUCACUUAUAGAUGGGCCCGCGGCGCAUUAGCUAGUUGGUGAGGUAAUGGCUCACCAAGGCGACGAUGCGUAGCCGACCUGAGAGGGUGAUCGGCCACACUGGGACUGAGACACGGCCCAGACUCCUACGGGAGGCAGCAGUAGGGAAUCUUCCGCAAUGGACGAAAGUCUGACGGAGCAACGCCGCGUGAACGAAGAAGGCCUUCGGGUCGUAAAGUUCUGUUGUUAGGGAAGAACAAGUACCAGAGUAACUGCUGGUACCUUGACGGUACCUAACCAGAAAGCCACGGCUAACUACGUGCCAGCAGCCGCGGUAAUACGUAGGUGGCAAGCGUUGUCCGGAAUUAUUGGGCGUAAAGCGCGCGCAGGUGGUUCCUUAAGUCUGAUGUGA